GGGCAAGUAGCUCAGCUAGUAGAGCGUGCGCGUACAAAGCGUAGACAGCGUCCAUGCGUGGGUUUGAAUCCCACCAAGGCUA
rnacentral:tRNA from 1 species